GGUAUAUAGCUCAGUUGGUAGAGUGCUUGCCUUGCAUGCACAAGGCCCUGGGUUCUAUCCCCAACACCA
rnacentral:tRNA from 1 species